GACGAACGCUGGCGGCGUGCUUAACACAUGCAAGUCGAACGGAAAGGCCCUGCUUUUGUGGGGUUCUCGAGUGGCGAACGGGUGAGUAGCACGUGAGUAACCUGCCCUUGACUUUGGGAUAACUUCAGGAAACUGGGGCUAAUACCGGAUAGUAGCUCCUGCUGCAUGUUGGGGGUUGGAAAGUCUCGGCGGUUGGGGAUGGACUCGCUGCUUAUCGGCUUUUUGGUGGGGUAGUGGCUUACCAAGGCUUUGACGGGUAGCCGGGCUGAGAGGGUGACCGGCGACAUCGGGACUGAGAUACGGCCCAGACUCCUACGGGAGGCAGCAGUGGGGAAUAUUGCACAAUGGGCGGAAGCCUGAUGCAGCAACGCCGCGUGCGGGAUGACGGCCUUCGGGUUGUAAACCGCUUUCGCCUGUGACGAAGCGUGAGUGACGGUAAUGGGUAAAGAAGCACCGGCUAACUACGUG
rnacentral:rRNA from 1 species